ACGGGGCGCAGCAGUCGCGAAACCUUUGCAAUACACGAAAGUGUGACAGGGUCAUCCCGAGUGCCGACCGCUGAGGUUGGCUUUUACCCAGUCUAGAAAGCCGGGGGAAUAAGGAGAGGGCAAGUCUGGUGUCAGCCGCCGCGGUAAUACCAGCUCUCCGAGUGGUGUGGACGUUUAUUGGGCCUAAAGCAUCCGUAGCUGGCUGAACAAGUCCCCUGUUAAACCCACCGAUUUAAUCGUUGGUCUGCGGGGGAUACUGCUCGGCUAGGGGACGAGAGAGGCAGACGGUAUUCCCGGGGUAGGGGUGAAAUCCUAUAAUCCCGAGAAGACCACCAGUGGCGAAGGCUGUCUGCUAGAACGCGCCCGACGGUGAGGGAUGAAAGCUGGGGGAGCGAACCGGAUUAGAUACCCGGGUAGUCCCAGCUGUAAACGAUGCAGACUAGGUGUUUGGACGGCCACGUGCCGUUCUAGUGCCGCAGGGAAGCUGUUAAGUCUGCCGCCUGGGGAGUACGAUCGCAAGAUUGAAACU
rnacentral:rRNA from 1 species